UACAGAGGGUGCGAGCGUUAAUCGGAAUUACUGGGCGUAAAGCGCGCGUAGGCGGCUUUGCAAGUCGGGUGUGAAAUCCCCAGGCUUAACCUGGGAACUGCAUUCGAGACUGCAUUGCUAGAGUAUGGGAGAGGGAAGUGGAAUUUCCGGUGUAGCGGUGAAAUGCGUAGAUAUCUGGAGGAACACCCGUGGCGAAGGCGGCAUCCUGGGCCAACAAUGACGCUGAGUGAGCGAAAGCCAGGGGAGCAAACGGG
rnacentral:rRNA from 1 species